GUUUUUAACCAGGUUUUCCGAAGGAAAAAACUGGUUAUUAGAUUGGCGAAUGCGGGCGGGCUGGCGGGCUGGCUGGCUGGCGGGCUGGCUGGCUGGCUGGCGGGCUGGCGGGCUGGCGGAAUAAGCUUGUCCGGGCCAUAACUAUGUCGUUCCUUAUCAGAUUUUAAAAUCAUUUGGCACAUUUGUUCACCAUCAUUGGACGGUGUGUCGCGCGAAAUAAUUACGUCGAUAUCUCCAAGGUCAAGGUCACACUUUGAGUUCAAAGGUCAAAAAUGGCCAUAAAUGAGCUUGUCCUGGCCAUAACUAUGUCAUUCAUUGUGAGAUUUUAAAAUCAUUUGGCACAUUUGUUCACCAUCAUGGGACGGUGUGUCCCACGAAAGAAUCACGUCAAUAUCUCCAAUGUCAAGGUCGCCACGACUAAAAAUAGAUUUAAAAAAAAAAAAAAAAUUACAAAGGGGGUUAAUUUUUUUUGGUCAUUUCAAAAGUUCA